rnacentral:rRNA from 1 species
CAAUGGCGUAUAUUAAAGUUGUUGCAGUUAAAAAGCUCGUAGUUGGAUUUCUGGCAGGAGCGACCGGUCGGCCCAUUGUGGUGUGUACUAGUGUUGCAUCUGGCCAUAUUUGUGGAGAGCGUGUGUGGCAUUAAUUUGUCGUGCUCGGGACCCGCAUCGUUUACUGUGAGAAAAUUAGAGUGUUCAAAGCAGGCUUAUGCCUUGGAUAUGUUAGCAUGGAAUAAUAAGAUAAGACUUUGGCGGUCUAUUUUGUUGGUUUGCACGCCAUUGUAAUGAUUGAUAGGGACAGUUGGGGGUAUUCAUAUUUAAUUGUCAGAGGUGAAAUUCUUGGAUUUUAGUUAAGAAACGGACUUACGUAACGUACCGUAAGGCCGAAAGUUUCGACCUUUAAACCGGAAAGGUAGUUUUUCGUUUUACUUAGUUAAAUUCCAAAAGG